GAUGAACGCUAGCUAUAGGCUUAACACAUGCAAGUCGAGGGACCGGCGCACGGGUGAGAAACGCGUAUCCAACCCGCUCAUAACUAAGGGAUAACCCAGCGAAAGUUGGACUAAUACCUUAUGGUUAUGGAUGGGGAUGCGUCUGAUUAGCUUGUUGGCGGGGUAACGGCCCACCAAGGCAACGAUCAGUAGGGGUUCGAAGAGGGAGGUCCUCGAGAUUGGAACUGGGACACGGUCCAAACGCCUAGGAGAGGCAGGAAUGAGGAAUAAUGGGAAAAGGGCGCGAGUCUGAACCAGCCAAGUAGUGUGGAGGAUGUCGGCCUAUGGGGUGUAAACUGCUGUUGUAUAGGGAUAGGUACCAUACGAAUAAGGAACGGCUAAUUCCGUGCCAGCAGCCGCGGUAAUAC
rnacentral:rRNA from 1 species